CCCACCUCCCCGCUGUCUGCCCCCGUUUCUUUGCUCGUUUUCCCCAGGCUGGUCUUCCUUUCAGAACUUGAGAAGCAUUUUUGCCUUCCCGCUUGCUGCUGUGCUCGCUUCGAAUGUGUGCUCUCCUCCUCCCUCUUUACUUUUCCCCAAGGCCCUGGAGUUGCUUUCUUUGGAGACAGCCUCUACCCACUCUUUCUUUCCAGCGCGGGGGCCAGCUGGCCCCCGAAAUCAAUCAGGGGCCCAUCAGAGACCGGGCUGGCCGCUGUCACUCCCGCCGUGGAAUUUAGGUAAGUUCCCCGGAGGCCCUUUAGAGCAAACGUGUCCAGAGUCGGCUCUGCCUCACGGAAUCCUCCCAUUUCCUGACGCCUCAAGGAUGUCUUUAUCUGCUAAGCCAUCGAGUUUCUACUGGAGGAGCGUGGACUCUCUUUGUGUUCCUUCCCUCUCUCCUGUGUCUUUUUUCUUUUUUAAAACGGGCUGCCUGGUCUCCCAGGAGGCUGUCAAUAGGCUUCGCCCACUCUGCCCUCUCCGCAGCUCUCUCUUGUCCAUUUUUAAAGUUUCCCUUUUCAGCACCGAUUUCAGCCAGCCUCCCACGCCCUGAGCCUUCCUGGGGCGGCGUGCCCUGUACUGCCCGGUUUAGGUGCUGGAGGAGUUUAAGAGAACUUUCAGUCCGGGAAUUCCAAACCUUUGUGUGUUUUCCUUGGGGUCCAUCCCAGCACUUCUGGGGAAGCUGGGAUGCUCCAAAGUCUCAUGCAAAGUGUCAAGGGUCUGGCCACUAAAGGGGUAGCGGACGAGGGACCCCACAGAUUCCCAUUUUGUUCCCAGGAGGCUCCCCUGGCCCAGCCCCUCGUUUCACAGAUCCGCAAAUGCAGUCCUGUGGAGCUAAUGGGUGUGAGCUGGGAGCCCCACUUGGGGCCUCUCUUAUUUGUGCUCUGCCGUAUCUGCGUGGAUCUUUCUGCCCCUUGAGGCUUCCCUCAACACUCCUCCUCCGUCCCGGGUUUUCCCUUUGGAUUCUUGCUUUCCCGCAUGGGCACACACAUCACGUACCCCCUUAUGCUUCCACAGGACUGGGGGCUCGCUGCAUAACUGGUGGGGCCCACGGCAAAAUCGAAAAAGUGGGUCCCAGCAGAGGGUGGGAACGCGAUUGCGAGUUUGGUGCGGGGCACCUGCCUGGGUCCCUGCAUGGGGGAUGCGUGGGAGGUCCAUGUUCAAGUGUGCAUUGAAUCAGCCGUGGAGCUGCAAACCCGGGAGGCCGCCAUACCUCACCCCGCAUGACACACUGUGGGGCACACGCUGACCCUAACCCUCCCUGCACCUGAACCCAGGCCAGGGCAGGUUAGCAGUGGAACAUGGCCCACCAUGGCGCCAGGCAAAGGGCGGCCGCCGAGGUGGAGGGGGUGGGGGAGGAGAGAGGAGGCCAUCCGGGGCCUGGGAAUCAGGAUUCAGACUGCAGGCUGUGGCCACCCCAGCCCAGAGAGGCAAUGGGGGGUGGACGCCACGUGAACAGAGGCUCCAGGCCUCCUGCACAUGCUCCUUGGUCCCACUGGACUUGACUUACACGACCAAAGAUGGAAGUGUUAGGAAGCUCCAGAUGGCAACAACUGAACAUCAAACGGAGUGUGGACCCUCCUGCAUGGGUCACGUGCCCAUGAAGUGUCCUGACAGCCUGGGACAGUUUUCAAAGCACGUUCACAUCCUUGCCUUUGUUCUGACCUCUAGAUAGCCCUUUGACUCAAACCGAUUGGGUGUCUUAAGCCUUAUUUUACAGGCAAAGACAAGACUCCACCAGGCAUAGCUUACAUACGUGAGUUCUGGAGUCAGACAGCUCAAAUAUGGGCUGGGCCUCAGAGGGGUGAAGGUUCUUCUUCAGGGUUGUUAUGGGAUCACAACAAAUAAUGUAUGGAACACGUUCCCUGGUGCCAGAUGCAGUCAGAAUGCUCCAUAAAUGGAGAUGUUAGUGUGCCCAGCGGAUGUAUCUGGCUUUUCCCAAAAUUCUAUUCAUGAACACUGUCACCAGUUUUCAGUUUUUACAUCUUAUCUGUACCAUUAUUGGCUUAAUAUUUUUUAAAUUUAAAUCUAUCUACUUCUUUUACACUUCCAGUGUUAUUUAAUUUAAUUUUAUUUCAAGUGGUUUUUUAAAUUUAUUUUUGAGAGAGACAGCGCAAGUGGGGCAGGAGCGGAGAGAGAGGGGGACAGAGGAUCUGAAGGGGGCUCUGUGCUGACAGCAGAUGUGGGGCUUGAAUUCACGAACCGUGAGAUCACGACCUGAGCCGAAGUCGGACGCUCAACUGACUGAGCCACCCAGACGCCCCUCCCAUUUUGUUUUAUAGGGUAACUUCAUUUUACUGUCGAGAAUGAAAGACCAGCAUCACUCAUCUUAAAUAGAAAGGUAAAGUAAAUUCGUGGAAAACAACAAUGGUAUGAAAAUCUGGCCAGAUACUUUUGCUUGCUGAACACUCUGAGCUUGUACCUAUUCUUUGUCAAAGAGGGAAAUUAGCAAGGAUUAAAGACUCAGCCUCGCCCUGAGAUUUCUCUUUGACUUCAUCUGCAGGAAAUCAUUUUGUCACUAUCCUAUUCAAUGUUACCCUGUGUCCAGCUGGUGCCUGUACCAUGACCACGAACUCUUGUGCGUUUCUUCACCUGCCGCGCUUUGGGAGAGCCUCGACACGAGGUUAGGACGCAGUGGAGCUAAGUUUCACAAAACGUGUAGCAUGACUGCAAAAAACUAGAAACCCACACAAAGCAGCUCCAAAUGGUUUUCAAGGACACAUGGACUGAAAGAAUUCACAUUGGCUCCUUAAUAGUGAUCACCUCUGAGGAAGGGAAGAGGAAAGCGUUGUUGGCAAAGGGACUUGCACCAGAAUCCCAACAUUUUAAUUGUUUUACCAAAAAAUGCUUGAAAUAGGGAAAUACUUUUACAGUUGUUAAUUCUGCAUCAUGAGGGUGUGAUUAUGUAGCGUUCUUCAGACUUUUACGUGUUUUUGAGUUUUCUUAAAUGUAAAAGACAAUAAAAGGGAAAAGGAAGAAAAGAAGCUCAAUCAGGCAAAAUGCUCCCAGAUGCGGAUGCAGGGAAGGAUCAAAAUGCUUUGGUAAAUCAGGGACUGUAUCAGUUUGCUACAGCUGCUGUAAUAAAUACCAUUGACUGCGUGGCUUAACCAAUAGAAAUUUAUUGUCUCACAGUUGUGGAGGCUGGAAGUCCAAGAUCAAGGUGCCAAAAGGUCUGGUUUCCUCUGAGGCCACGCUCCUUGGUUUGCAGGUCGCCGCUGCCUCCCUGUGUCCUCGCACGGUCUUCCCUCUGUGCAUGCCUGUGUCUUAAUUUCCUCUUAUAAGGACACCAGUCAGACUGGAUUCGAGCCCACCCAAAUGAUCUCAUUUUCCCAUAACUACUUCUCCAAAGACCCUAUCUUUAAAUGUAGUCAUAUCCUGAAGUAUUGGGGGUUAGCACUUCAACAUAUGAAUUUGGGGGGCACAGUUCAGCCCAUAACUCUUUAAUUAAUGACCCCUGCUGACCUACUUCAUUAUACAGGAGUUUCUUGUCACCUCCCUUUACUGAUUCUAUCGACCUUCCCUCUUCUUCCCAAUGUCCUGGACAUCCAGGCAGGGUUUCCUGAUUGCCCCACUGCUCGCUCCUUUUUGAUCCUUCCUGGAAUCAAUUCCUGCUCCCUCCAGCCAGCCUACAGAGUUCCAUCUGUCCUCCUUACCCCAGCUUAGCCCAUCUCUCUCUCUCUCUUUUUUUAAUGUUUAUUUAUUGUUUGAGAGAGAGCGGUGGAGAGGCAGAGAGAGAGGGAGACACAGAAUCUGAAGCAGGCUCCAGGACUCUGAGCUUUCAGCACAGAGCAUGACACGGGGCUCGAACCCACGGACCACAAGGUCAUGACCUGAGCGGAAGUUGGCUUAACCAACUGCACCAUGUGGGCGCCUCUAGCCCUGCCCAUCUCUUUGAGUUCACUCCUGUCUUUGGAUUCUCCACUCAGGAGCCCGAUGGCACAGCCUCCACCCAGGUUGAAUCUCUGCAGCUUCAUGAGCCCAAACUACCUGCUCAUUGACUGCACAUGCGACACAUUUCUCCCGCCUCCCAUCUGCACACAAAAUGCCUACGUCAUCUAUCUUGUCUCCUUUCUUGAGAUGCUUCCAAUGGGGCUGUCGGUGGCAUUCACCUGCCCUGUCUCCCUGUGGUUCUUACCGUUUUGAGCUCACAGACUGUAUCAGUCAGCAUCCAGUCAAGGGAGCAGGAACAUCUCUAGACACUUAGCCAGAUUAGGAACAUACUACAGGGAAUUGUUCACAUGAGGGACGAGAGAGGAGAAGCCAGGCGGGGCGUGGUGAAGGACAGGAACAUGGCGGCCCAUGUGAACAAGGGCGACACGCUAGUGACGGUGGAAAGAUAGCAGGACAGAAAGAACCUAGUCCCGCCAUUCCCCGGAGCUGCUCUCUAGCUCUACACCGUGUGAACCCAGCCUGUUAAGUGGAAAGAAAUAACUCCUGUUGCUUGCUUGGAGUCUCUGUUAGAGCUGCUUAGCUCAGACCCAGGAAAUGCAUCUCUUUUUACGUUGCCUGUUUGAGGGAAGUCUGCAGAGACAGGCUCUCUCCCUUCCCCGGGGAGACAGAGCUGGGGCCUUGUUCUUGCCGCCUGAAAUGCCUUUAAAGGCCUUAAGGGCGCUCGUGAUACAAAUGCUGCAGCCUGGGUGACCAGCUGUCUCUGUUUGCCCAGGAACAAGAGGCUUCAUGCAUGUAGAACUUGCACUGCUUAAAUGGGGAGAGUCCCUGGCAAACCAGGAUGGGCCUGUCACCCUCCCUUCUUGUGCCUGUAGCAAGCAUCUACUUCCUCAGACAGAAAAUCACCUGCCAGGGUCUCAACCCCGACCUCUCUUCCUGGGUCCAGGGUCAGACCACAGCCAUUCUUGGUGAGUCUGGUUGCCUCCCGGUGCCUCUUUGAACGAGACAUGGCGAGUUCUUCCGUGACCCCUGCUUCAUUCCCGACGAGAAUAAACACCAUCUCCAGCCUCGACCUGCUGAACAGAAUCACCACAGAGUUCCUCCAGCAGCCCUGACCCUCUGCACCCGAGAUAUUUUCCAAGAUAAAUGCAAUUUCUCUGGAUCUGAGGCGCGUGUCACAUUCCCUGCUUCUAGGAAUCUGCCUGCCCACAAACGCGGGUCUCUGGUCUCAUCCAAGUAGACGACAAGAGACAACGGGGUUCUCCCACCACACAGUCCUUGCUCAAUCGCUGUUUUCCUCCUCUCCGAAGGUAGCCUCUAGGCGAGGUUGUACCCAUCAGCACGCUCCUUCUGUCAUCCUGCUUUCAUCUGGGGCACAGCUUGCUGGAUUGGAGCAGUAGACUGAGCUCAGGCCUCUGUGUUUGGAAACAUGCCUCUGCCUCUGUUCUCCCUAUCAUGUCGGGCAAGUGGCCUCACCUUGCAGAGCCUCAGUUUCCCCACCUGUAUAAUGGAAUGGUAUGGUAGGCUGAAAAAUGGCCCCGGAAACAUAUCAUUAUCCUAAUUCCUGGAAUUUACGAAUGUUACCUUAUUUGGAAAAAAAGAGUCUUUGCAGAUGUGAUUAAGGACCUUCAAAUGGGGAGAUUAUCCUGGAUUAGGUGAGUGGGCCCUAAAUGCUAUGACAGAUGCCCUUAAAAGAUGGAGGUAGAGGGAAACUACACGGACAAAAGAGGAGGGAGCAGUGUGACCAAGGAGGUGAAGAUUAGUGAUGCUUCCACAAGCCCAGGAAUACUGGCUGCCACCAGAAUCUGAGAGAGACAAGGAGCAGAUUCUCCCUUUGGGCCUCCGAGGGAGCACAUCUCUGCUGUUUUGGCCUGACCUGUGCCCUCUCAGAACCCAUAUGCUGAAGUCUUAACCCCCAGUACCUCAGGAUACAGCCACAUUUAGAAAUAAGGCUUGUAAAGAGGUGGUUGAGUUAAAACGAGGCUGUUAGGAUGGGGCCCCAAUAGGACUGCUGUCCAUAUGAGGUACACAUGUGUGCCCAGAGGGAGGACCGCUGAAGACACAGUGAGAAGGCGGCCAUCUGCAAGUCAAGAAGAGAGGCCUCAGCAGAAACCAACCUGGCCGGCAUAUUGUUCUUAAACUUCCAGCUUCCGAACUGUGAGAAAGUACACUGCUGUUGGUUAAGCCACUUAGCAUGUGGUACUUUAUCAUGGCAGGCCCCGGGAAUUAAUGCGGGUGGUGAUACCUAACCCAGGCUCGUUCUAAGAUCGAGAUGAUCACAAGGGUGCCUGCUGGGCUGUGGAUGAGUACUUUCUACAUUUUAGUGGUGUCUGAAUUCUCCUUUCGUGGAGACUUUUCUACACCCAAGCAGAAGUAAAAUAACAACUACAACAAUCACAAAAAAUGAUACACCAGCCAUAGUGACUGUUUUCUUUUGGUCUUCUCUACUCCCUGACCACCCUUCCUGUGUGUGUGUGUGUGGGUGUGGGUGUGGGUGUGCACAUGCACACCUAUUUCCCACCUUAAUAUUCCAUCUUCCUUCAGUGAACUGCAUCAUCUAUUGGGGCUCCAUGAACAGCAUCAAUUUCCUGUUUAUAGAUCUGUCCCAUCACCACUUACUAGUUGUGAGGAUCGCAAACAUUUAUGGGAUGCUCAUUUUAUAUGUAGCCAGGAAUUGUGCUUUUUCUAAAUUGUGUCAUUUAAUGCUCUGAGUAUCCCUUCAAUGUGGGUACUAUUAUUAUUCCAACUCGACAGAUAGAGAGACAGACAGAGUUUGACCAAGGAAGCGGCACAGCUGGGAGGCAAGCCCAGGUAGCUGGCGCCCAGGCCCACACCCUCACCUCCUCUUAAAUCUCCCGAGGGCAGGAAUCCACCCUGCCUUAGUCAACCUUUACUCUCUACCAUGUGCUUGGCACAGAGUUUGGAUUCAACAAAGGCCGGCUGGAUGAACAAGUGAAUGACACUUUCCACAUGCCAAAGAAAGUCAAGAAGAUGUUCUCCAGAACUCUGCUCGGUCUAGCAUCUCUUUAUCUUGACUCUGCUGCUGUUACUGCUACAGCGGUCCGACCACGGACAGUCCUACACGGCCCACGUCCAUCACACGCCUGUCACACUCUCUGCCCUCAGCCUUUUUGACCAUGGAGCUGAGACAUUGUGAGUGGACGCAGCAGCCCCCGCUGCCCUCUCCAUCCACUCCAUCCACUCAGCAGUGGCCUUGUCUCCCCCCAUGGCCACUACUCAUCCGUGUGGAUGGGAGAGACUGGAAUUCUCAGAAGUCUAGUGAGAGAGGUCUAGAUUCCACAAGAAUCUGGAAACUGCACAGGGCCAUGGUAACGCCACUCAUGUUUGCUCUUCCAACUUGCAGAAGAGAAAACUGAGGUCCAGGGGUAUUAAAUCCUUGCCCAAAGCCACAGAAGACUGGGUGUCAUGUUUGACUUCCACUCAGGCCUCUUUCCAAUAUACCAAGUCAGUACAAAAGUGGCCCAGUCUAGCAGAGAGAAGAAGAUUGGGCUCAGAGCCUGGUUUCAAUUCUUACCAACCAUGUGUGGUUAGGUAUGUUAUGUAAAUUCCCUAAGCUUGGGUCCCUUGGCCCACACAGUGAAGACAAGGCUAUUUGCUUGCUGCCAUUAGAACUACUGCUGGCCACAGAAGUCACCUGGCCAGACUCCUGCAUGCAGAUCGCAGACAGAAUAUUGAACUACAUACUUCAGGAACUGACCAGUCCAGACCUUGACCUGUCUCAUUCCACCUGCCAGUCAAGGCCCUUUUGGGGAGCAGGCUGCUUUCCUAUUAAUAACGGGGAAGGGACUCAGAAAACCUUGAUUCUCUAUCACUAGCAGCUCCAUCUGUCUCCAGACCAGGAUCAGGAAAAAGGAGGGAAAAAUGGUAGCUCGCCUGAAUAAUCCCAUCCCUGAGUAACCUCAUAACAUCUCUUUGGAGUCAGGAAAAUAUUUACCUGGCAAUGACAUUCUAACUUAUUCAGUUGUCCCUCCUUCGUAAUGAAUGCCUAAUCACUAUGGAAAAUAAUCUCUUCUAAACUAUGUAUUUCAUAACAUAACCCAUACCAGAAAUGUGUUCCCACGUCUCUUUUCUUCUAAAUAUUUUAAAACACAUUUGAAUGUAAACACACGCACACACACACACACACACACACACACAACGAUGUUCUAUUUUUCUUAAAUAGAAAUCUGCAAUAAUGUUUUCAUUGAACAUAAAAGAGGCCAGCCCUGAUGUCAUCAUUGUAAACUCCUAGAGCAGGGUUUCUCAACAGCCCCGCUAUUGACAUUUUGGACCAGAUAAUUCUUUGUUGUGAGGCUGUCCCGUGCGGCAUCGGGUAUUUAGAAGCAUCCCUGACUUCUACCCAGUAGAUGCCAAUAGCACCUCUCUUCCAUCAUGACAGUGCAAAAUGCUCCAAACAUUGACAAGCAUCCCCUGGGUGGGGGGAAGGAGGGGAGAUGCAAAAUCAUCCCCUGUUAAGAACCACUGUCCUAGAGAAAGAGACGAGGCCUGUAAGACUCUCUUUGCCCUGCCCCACCUGAAUUUAAGUUCUCUAUAGAAGUGCUUUUGACAACACUGAUGAAUUAAAUGUAAGGGUAGGAGUUGAGUGAGCAGGGAAGAAAAUACAUCCUUCGAAUAUACAAAAUGCACUAGGCACUAUGAAGGAAUAGUAAUACAAUCACAAACUACGCCACGAUUGUACAUAUCAGCCCCCUAUCCUUCUGUCUCUUGGACUGAAGAUGGGCCAUCAGUUGAUGAACAUCUCAGAAAGUCUUCAUGGUCUUUAUCUGUUUCCUUUCGUUGGUCCUUAGGAGGUAGGAUGUGUUAGAACAAUUAUAUUCUGAAUUUCUUUGAACAGAAAUUAGAGAUGAAAUGGAGAAGAACCAAAAGGAAGCACAAAAAGACCAACAGUGAAGAACCCCGGGCUUAGCAACGAUGGGGAAGCAGUGACACACUGUUAGGGGAGAGAGUGUUGUUGCCAAAGCCCAGCCAGAGGCCAGACAAAGGCUUAAGUACUGGAGGAAGGGCUGUCUGACGAGAGGACUGCAAGGCAGGGAUGGGGCAGGGCAAUAAACUCCCCAUGUGUCUUUCUCUUUUCCUGCUUUCUAAUAUCUAAUCAGUACCUCCAUUGGUGAAACCCAAACAGAAGGCCAGGGCAAAGGAGCCCGGAUGAUGGCGUGCAUAGAGGUCAGCCCCCCAAAGUCUUGGAGAAGGGCAGAUGAUGCAUCUAGUGAGUGAUAGGGGCAAAUGGAGAAUCAUCAGCCACACAAGAUAUGUUCAGAGAAGAGUUUGUCAGUCUGAACUCUUUCCAAGAGAGAGUCCAAACACAAAAAUUUCUCUGAGUCUCAGUAUUCCUGACUGUGAAAUGGGCAAUGCCUGUGUCAUGAGGUGGUAAUGAGGAUUCUACGAUAUGCCAUACGGAGGGACCAAGCACAGGGCCUGGUACAUUCUGGAGGUUCCAUGUAUGUCAGUUACUUUCACCUUUCCUGUACCUAAAUGGCCCUGGACCAGAUUACUUUUCCUGGUCUGGUGCUCCAAGUGACCUCUGUGCCUCUUUCCCCUUCUCAGUUCAUUCACCCAUUCAUUUAUUCAGUAAGUAUACAUUCACUGAGCAUCAGAUAUGAUCACUGCACGUACCAGAGUGGAGAGUGCAGAUGUAUGUGGCCCUUGCCUCUGUCCCUUCUUUCCUCACAGACCCGUCCCCAUCUCUUUGAUCGGGGCCCCUGGUUCCUCAUUCCCGACUCUCAUUGCUUUUAUUUCUUCAACAUGUACCUAGUGCCUACCUCUGACAAAAUCGUGAGGACGGCGGUAGGAAGAAAGAGCCCUUGUUUUUACCUGAGGAAGCUACUUAACUUUUCCAGGGAUGCUGAGCCCAACGAGCAGAAGGCAGAAAAGUGGUUGGCUUCAUUUUGACCAUGAGUCCCUGCCAGAAUCAGUUACACAACCACGCAUGCAAGAGAAAAGGGUCCACCAAGAGAGUCAGAGGUGGAAAGACACGGAGAGGGCCCAGAGGCUUUCUGAAACGUCUGUCGUCAGAUUGCCCCAGGCUUGGAGGCAGGAGGGUGUCCAGAGAGGACCACGUCCAGAGAAACUCUGGACGUGGUCUCAUUCUCAGCCUUUCAUGUUCUGCUUAUUGCCUUGCAACUCUAAUCAUCUGUGCUUCCAGCCCAAGUGUCACCUUCUAAGGCUCAGGGUUUUGGUCUGUAACAUGAAGAGGUCGGAGCAGAUGAAUUCUUAGUGGCCACAGAAUAGUCUAGCUCUAAUAUUUCGAGUCUAUAAUCACGGGAAGGCUAUGGGAGCUUUAGAACUGAUUUUAUGGUUUUGGAUGUUCUGGCAGCUUCAAUCAUUUCAAGAAGGUUAAAGACUCUGGGAUCUGGACAAGUUUCCUUCCGAGCUACCACCCAAACUAUUCUUGAAAAGAGCCUACAGAAUGAUUUUUCUACCAGGGGGCCUCAAGCUGGCCUCCAGAUAUGCAAACAAUGCAAAGGGAGUGUGAAUCAGAGGACAAGAGCUAAUUGGUGCCCCGGAGUCUGAGCCAAGGACCGGCUUGGGUGUGUGACCCUAAGGGGUGUGACUGAACUUGAAGGUUUAGUCACUUCAGCUAUCAAAAGAAUUAUAUCAAGCUUGAUGCGGAGCUGAAUGUGGAGACUAUUAAUACAUAAUCACCAUAAUGAUAACUCUUUCCUGAGUGCUUAGCCUAUGUCAGAGGCCAUGCUAAGUACUCGAUAGGAAUCUAACUCCAUUUUCGCAACACUCUAAGGUACGUAUUAUUAUUCCCAAGACACAGCUGGCAAAACUGAAGUUUAAAGGCGUAGGUAACUUGCCCUAAAUCCCUCGGCUAUUAAGUGAAGGAUCUGGAUCAGAUCUGGGAUUGAAACCCAGGUCUGUCUGACUCUGAGAUCACUGACUAACUACCCGCUACGCUCUCAGAGCUCCAGCGGACUUUGGAAAAACUUGAGUUCAUUAUGUCUGCUUCUGAGGGACUGCUCGGUAGGAUCACAAUGUUCCCGAUUUAAAGACCUUUGGGAUAAACUUUGCAGAUUUUCUGUAUUCAUUACCCCAUCUCUGACCACGCUAAUGUCUCAGCCAGCGCCCCUCCUCCCCUGUCCCCAGAGGUCUCUGGACCAUGUUAAUCUGUCUGGUUUACAAACUCUCUGGCUCCACAUUCUCUAGCUGUUUCCAUCUGCUGUCCUGUCUAAAUUCUCUGGGAGGCCGCAGGAAAGGAAGAUAGCAAGGUGAGCAGAGGGGCCAAAGCAAGCAGAGGGAUAUCAGAGUAUGUGAUACAAAAGCUCUCCAUGCCACCUACGGGAUCUUUCAAAGUUCAAGUACGCUGCCCUUGGUCACCUUGAUCUAGAGUUUAUGAACUUGAGCUUUGGAGUCAGCUAGAGCUGGGUUCUAGGGGUAGUUUGGAAGUUAAGUUACCUCCUCUCUCCGAGCCUCAGCUCUCUAAUGAAGUAGGAAGAAGUCCAUGAGAGGUUGUUUUUUCCACUCCUGGAGGUCAUGCCUCUGCAGUUUUCAGCACAGCACCUGUCGGUCACGUGGUAAAUGCUCCAGACUGGUAGUUGCUAUGGGUGGUAAGCUCUCAUUGGCUGCCAGCUCAGCUCCUUCUCGCGUAUGCCGUGCAGUGCCAAGCGGCUCAUGUCCUUUCUGGGAGGUUCAAAGGCUUGCCUGCCUCUGAAACUCCCCUCUGAUGCUGUUCCCCUUCCCAGUUUGUGAACAGGAACAGGUCCAGUGAGGCACCUGGCUGGCUCAGUUGGUGAAGCGUGUGACUGUUGAUCUCAGGAUCGUGAGUUCCAGCCUCAUGUUUGGUGAAACCAGUCCCAUGGCUUUGAGAAGACGCAUGAUUGACUAAGCACUGUUAUCUAAGCACCAACUGUAUACAGAACACUAAACUGGGCACGGAGGAACCAUCUUCUUAUGGAGUAGAGCAUCUAGUUGGAGAAAUAAGACCAAUGCUCAUGAAAGAAGUAGGCUUUAAGAAUACAAGACUGGGGCGCCUGGGUGGCUCAGUCGGUUAAGGGUUCGACUUCGGCUCAGGUCACGAUCUCGCGGUUUGUGAGUUCGAGCCCCUCGUCGGGCUCUGUGCCAGCAGCUCAGAGCCUGGAGCCUGCUUCGGAUUCUGUGUCUCCCUCUCUCUCUGUCCCUCCCCCGCUCAUGCUCUGUCUCUCUCUGUCUCAAAAAUAAAUAAAACAUUUAAAAAAAAAAAGAAUACAAGACUGUGCAUAACUCAGUGUUUUGCUGGGACAGCAAAUGCUAAAGUUGGUUAAGACUCAACUAAUGGCUCAUCCAAAUCCCUGACAGAUCAUUAUCAGAGGCUCUGGGGACCCCAGGAACCUCAUACUUAGUUAUAAGUACAAAUAGCCUGCAAGAGUCAGAAUCAUAUUGCUGGCACGGGCAGUGGCAAUGAUUUGUGUGUGGGCUGUUUUUUCCAUUUCCAGAGGGCAGAGCUCAUGUUUGGGCUGGUAGGGUGUUUCCCACUCAAUAAACAAAAAGUGGCCACAACCGGAUUGGGGCAAAAUGCUGAGGACAAAGAGCACUGAACUAGAGGUCAGGGGACCUGGGUCCUAAUUCCAUCAUGACCAUUGACUCCUUGUAUGACCUUGAACAAGUCUCUUGCCCUUUUGUUUAUGAAAUGAAGAAGGCACAUCAGAUAGAAAUUUUUGAAUUGUGUUUCUUUUAAUUUCUUUUAAUGCGUAUUUACUUUUGAGAGGGAGAGAGAGAGAGAGAGACAGGGUGUGAAUGGGGGAGGGGCAGCGAGAGAGGGAGACAGAAACCCAAGCAGGCUCCAGGCUCUAAGCUGUCAGCACAGAGCACGAUUCAGGGCUCCAACUCACGACCCAUGAGAUCAUGACCUGAGCCGAAGUCAGACGUUCAAUUGACUAAGCCACCCAGCCACCCCUUGAAUUGUGUUUCAUGGUACCCUAAGGUUUCUAGAAAUUCUGGAGCUUGGAGGAAGCUAGUGGGUCAAGGGGAAAGGUGAGUGGUGGUUUGAGACCAUAGGCUAUCCCUCUCCUACCUUUCUAUACCUUCAAACAGAGCAACUCCACUUACAUCUUUUUACAUACGGAGAUUCUAUGGUAGCUUUCUUGGAAAGUCACCUAACUUGUUUCUCUCCACGAUGUUCCUUUUACACAAAGGUCAGCUGAGUCUCAGAGAGGUGAAGUAACUUGGUCAAAGUCAUACCGUGAGUGGCAGGAAUGGUAUUAAAGUCUCCUCUCUUUUUAAUUUAUUUUUAUUUAUUUAUUUUUAAAGUUAAUUUAUUAGUUUGAGAGAGAGAGAGAGAGAGAGAGAAAUAGUUCACACACACGAGUGGGGGAGGGGCAGAGAGCUAGGCAGAGAGAGAAUCCCAGGCAGGCUCCACACUGUCAGCACAGAGCCCAAUAAGGGUCUCAAACUCACACACGAUGAGAUCAUGACCUGAGCCAAAGUCUGACACUCAACUGACUGAGCCACCCAGCUGCCCCUCUUCUCUUUUUUGAAUAUUUAUUUAUUUUUGAGAGAGAGUGAGGGAGAGAGAGUGUCAGUUGGGGAGGGGCAGAGAGAGGGUGGGGGGGGACGGAGGAUCCGAAGCGAGCUCCAUGCUCAGCAGAGAACCCGAUGCAGGGCUGGAAUUCAUGAACUACAAGAUCAUGACCUGAGCUGAAGGCGGAUGCUUAACCAACUGAGCCACCCCAGGUGCCCUUAGAGUCCCUUUUGUGAUGAUGACAAUUAUUUGGUUGUUCUCCCGAAGAUUUGGAACAGGUGUGCCUCCUAAAUUCUGAAAGGGGCACGCUGAAAGCAGGGCAAAGGGUAGGGGCUGAGCACCCAUGAGCAAAUCACAUUUCAGCAGCGGCUCUGACAAAGUCCACCUGAAGUGCCAGCAACAUCCGAUGGAGAAGCUGCCACGAGUCUGGGUCCUUGAUGACUCCCCCCCCUUGGGUCACCAUAGGGGACCCAAGCCAAGGCAAAGAGGCCCACUGGUCCUUCCGAGGCAUCUCUAGAGUGAUUGUCACCUUCUCCACCCUCUGGCUCCCCUAGCCCCUCUCCCCUCCUUUCUUCUGCCUGACAUUCAAACCAGGACUCUGCAUCUUUGCUGCCCCUCAAAGUCCACGUUCAAUCCCCGUCUCUGUCAGUUCUCCUGCGAAGCAUCUCUUGAGUCCUCAUCCUUCCCAUCUCCCCUGCGGCCACCUGGGUCAGCCCACAGCCACUGCCAUAGCUGCCUGACGGGUUCCCCGCUCCCCUGUCUCCCUUCCACUGGAAUCCCCAGACAGCAGCCAGACUGAACUCUUUCUUUCUUUCUUUCUUUCUUUCUUUCUUUCUUUCUUUCUUCUUUCUUUUUUAACGUUUAUUUAUUUUUGAGACAGAGAGAGAGACAGAGCAUGAAUGGGGGAGGGUCAGAGAGAGAGGGAGACACAGAAUCUGAAACAGGCUCCAGGCUCCGAGCUGUCAGCGCAGAGCCCGACGUGGGACUCGAACUCACGGACCAUGAGAUCAUGACCUGAGCCGAAGUCGGAAGCUUAACCGACUGAGCCACCCAGGCGCCCCAGGCUGAACUUUCUAAGAACAAAAUCUAAUCAGGUUACUUUCCUGCAUAAAUCCUGUGACGGUCCCCAGGGUCCUCAAAGUCAAGGCUUAUUCUGACCAGGGCUUACAGACUCCUGCGGACUCCCGCCUGCCUUUCUAGCAAUAUUUCUCACUGUUCACCCCUCAUUUUUGAUUCUCCAGAAAAGCCGAACAACAUGAACUUCUCUGACUAUAUCUCGCUCUUUCCUUCUCUCAGCUACUCUUACUUAUUGCUCUCAAGUCUCGGUUGUUAAGUAUCCUCACUGGCAUGACUACCCCCUCCAUCAUAUUACACUCCCCAAGCUACAUCAUAGUUACUCAUCUGCAUCUCUCACUAGACUCUAAGCUCUGAGAGGGAAGGCGGUUUGGCUGGCCACUGAGUGCAGUGACUUGUCAUAUAAUCAUCACUCCGUAAGAAUGUGUCGAAAGAACAAGUUCUCCUUAGGCCAGCCAUGUCUUCAUGUCACCGGGCCAGUGAAAUAAAAGCUCCUGAGUGGGUGAUGGGGUGAGCUGAGUGGUACCCCACCUAUCUCCUCAUUUCCCUGGGCCCAGCCUUUCCUAAUCCAUUCACAUUUCUCGGCAGGUUGUGCAAGAUUCCUGAAGGGGGUUUCCUGGGCAAAUGCCUAGCCAUUUUGCAUUUAUCAACAACAACCUGGGAGGCUGGAGGCCACAGAGAAGCACCAACUUGUAUGUGAAGUCAGGGUUUUCAGGGACAUCUCCUCUGCCUAGAGCAUACCCAAUUUGGCCCAAGCCAGAAUUUUUCCUAGUAGGGUCCAUCUAAUCUGAUCAAACUAUAAAGAGGGGAGAGGAAAUAAGGUAAUGUAUGUCAUUUUCCAUCAGAAAAUGUCGACACUGCACACAGAAUGGUUAAUCCAGAGUGAAAUAACAAGCAUCUCUUCAAAGCUGAUUUAACGUUUUCUUAAGACACCUCACAUUGUUGCAAAUCUCUCUGUGCUAUAAAGAAGAAAGAAAAAGAAGAAAGAAGGAAAGAAAGAAAGAAAGAAAGAACAGAGGGAAGGAAGGAAGGGAAGAAGGGAGGGAGCAAGGAAGGAAGGAAGGAAGGAGGAAGUGAGGGAGGAGGAAGGGAGGGAGGAAGGAAGGGAGGAAUGAAAGAAAGAGAGAAGGGGGAAGGAGGGAGGAAGGUAGAAAGAAAGAGACAGAAAAAGACAGAAACGAAACAAAACAGCCGUUUGGAUUUGGGAACAAAGAGUCCCAGGACAGUUUCAUUUCCACACCACAGUCACUGCAAAACAAGCCUUUGGAAAAUGCUCUUUCGUUAACAAGCCUAUUUACAUGUCUUCUUGGGUCCUUGCAACAGUGCAAGAACUCCUUGCAUCUUUUGACACCAAGAGCAAAUCCUUUUCCUGCUUUUGAAGUCAUCCUUGGUGGGGGGGGAGGGGAGGGUGGGGGAGGGGUAUUGAGGAGGGCACCUUUUGGGAUCAGCACUGGGUGUUGUAUGGAAACCAAUUUGACAAUAAACUUCAUAUAUUGAAAAAAAAAAGAACAGGCAUUCUUCAAAAAAAAAAAAAUGAAGUCAUCCUUGAUCCCAGCCCCUGCCUUGACCCCCCCGCCCCCCCCCCCUUUUCCAAUUCGGCGUGUCAUGGAGUGUGUGCUAAGAUGUGGGUCCUGGGAACACUCCCAAUUGUGUGGUCGUCGUGGCUUCGGCCAGGGCAUUCUCCACCGUAAUGGGUUUUGGUCUUUCUGCUUUCUUUUAGAGUCUGUCUGCCUUUGGCGUUCUGCACUUUCACGAUGGUGAUUCUAAAAGAACAUUUGGUUUUAUUUCUCUAGUUUGGGGUUCAUUGUAAUUCCUGAAUCUAAACGUUCUCAUCAUCAAUUCUCAGGGAACUUGCCUUCAAACAUCACCUCACCUCAUUCUCUUUUCUCUUCUGGAACGUCUAUUAGCUCAAUGUGAGAUUUUUCAUUUUAUCCUCUGUGUCUUCUGGAAUCUCUUUCACAGUUUCCAUCUCUGGGCUCUCUCUGGAUAAUUUCCUCGAUUUACCUCCAAGUUCACAAAUUCUUUUUUCAGCUCUGUCUCAUCUACUCCGUAGUCUGUUCCUGGAGUUUUAAAUUUUAAUGAGUACUUUUUUUUUUUUUUUAUUUCUAAGAAAAAGUACUACAGAUGGUCCCUGACUUACAAUGGUUCGACUUACGAUUUUUUGACUUUACAAUGGUGCAAAAGCAAUGCACAUUCAGUAGAAACCAUACUAACCAUACUUCUAAUUUGGGUUUGGGAUCUGCCCCCCAGCAAUAUGUGCCGCAAUGCUCUCUCCUGAUGCUGAGCAGAGCCGGAAGUGCAGCUGACAAGGUGAACGGUCACAAGGUGAACAAGAUGAACGGUCACAAGGGUGAACAGCCUACACGAUGACAACCGUUCUGCACCCAGACAGCCGGUCUGCUUUUUGCUUUCAGGAUUCAACAAAUUACAUGAGAUAGUCAACACUGCCUUAUAAAAUAGGCUUUGUGUUCAUGUUUUCCCCCCACUGCUGGCUCAUGUAAGUGUUCUGAGCAUGUUCAAGGUGGGCUAGGCUAUGGGAUGCUCGGUAGGUUAGGUGUAUUAAAUGCAUUUUUGACUACUAUUUUCAACUUACAAUGGGUUUAUUGGGACGUAACCCAAGCGUAAGUCAAGGGAAAUCUUUUUCUUUAAUCUGCCUGAUUUUGUUGACGUUCUAGAUACUUAUGUUUUUGAAGCUUUAUUUUAUGCUACUAGUCAUUUUAACACACUGUUUACAGUCUCUUAGGAUGCUUCUAUAAUCCAAGGUUCUGGAACAUCUAGUGCUAUUGUUUGUUGGAUCUGUGGACUCUUGCUCAUGUUUUUCUAUGAGUGUCUUGUGUGAUUUCAGAUUGUGAGCUCAUCUGCAACAGGGUCUUAACCUGGUGAAACCAGUAUAAUCAAAGCGUUUGCUUCUAACAGAUGACCACUGGUCCAGACCAAAUUUUAUGUUAUUUCUUAGCCUAGGGGUUUCUAGGCUGUUCAGGAACUAUUUAUUCAAACCCCAAAGCCACUAAAGGCUCAUGCCAGUGGUUUUGAAUUCUCAAGGGAGACAUUUUCCCCUCCUGACCUAGAGCUCAGCUCAAGAUAAACAAGAUCUCUUCCCACUUUUCUAAGCUGGAGAUUGACUAUUUCUGGUCUACAAUUUUUUAAACGAUGUUGUCCUUCUAGGGUCGUGGCUUUCUGUGGAUGCCUCAGUGCCAAUACUCCACCUCCCAGGGACUGAACAUCUUGUUUCUUAUCCCUGAACGGUAUUAAAAACUCAAACCCCUGUGUGAAUAAGACCAGCUCUAACAUCAGCACCACUUGUCCACCCCCGUGGUAACUGCAAAGGGCAGCCCAUGCAAUUACUUUUCCAGUUCUCAGUUCCCUGUUGGUUUCUGACUCCUGGAGAGUUUUUGUAUACUCAGCUUUGUCAAUAACAGGUAGCGUUUCUAGUGUGUAAGCACCUGGCAUCAUGCUAAGUGCUUACCCAUACUAACUCAUUUAACUCCUGUAACCCCCCUUCAGAGAUUGAGAUAUUAUUAUCAGGCUCAUUUCAUAUAAGGAAAUUGGGGCCCAGAGAGUAAAGUAACUUGCCCAAGGUCUCGCGGCUGGUAAGUAAAGAAGUUUGGAUUCCAAGUGUAGGCACCCUGGAGGCCUGUGCUCUCACUACUCUUCACUGGUUUCUUAUUUAGAUACUUCGGUGUUUUUGUAAGAGAAACUAGACUCCACGCUGCAGUUUCAUGCUGUUUCUCCCAAAACAUCCAAAUCAAGAAUAACUGUGUGAACAGACAUGCUUUCUGACACAUAGACAGACAUCCUGGCAAUUUUGACGAGCUCGUCUCGUGGAGAAAAGCGCAAGCCUGUACCUCAGAGGAGAAGCCCAAAUCCCAGGCUCCAUCAACAGGCACGCGUACUCGCUCCAAGUAAAUACUUACGGUUACGGAAACUUGGGUACGUCAGACUUGUCAGGGACAUUAGACGCAGCCUUUCUCAAGGGGUGGUCUGUGGGCCAUCUGCACCAGAAUCAACCCAAGGUACUUCCUAAAAAUGCAGAUUACGAGACCCAAUGCCAAACCCACUGAAUCAGAUCUCCUCGGGUUGGGCCCCGGGAAACUACUUAUUAAGAUAAGCUCUCCAUCGGGUUCUAAUUUUAAUGUACGUUGGAGUUUGAGAACGACCACUCAGCACUUGCUUUGGAGCCCACGCUGGGCUCGAGCUCUUCCUCGAUGUAUGACCAUGGCAGGCAGGUGAAAGGCACCUUCUCUUCCUUUUGUGACCUGGUCCCACCACUUAAAGCACAGACACGGAAGCAAGCCCACAGGAGGGGGCCCUCUGCUGGGGUCCCACUGCACCUGGGUUCCUCUUGGCACAACAAGUUCCACUCUACGAUAUACGCAAUAGCCUUGACUGCUUGUUUCUCUCCACAUGUCGUCUGGGAAGAUGGAAGAUGUUCUGCUUUGUCGCCCCAGCGCGCAGCAUGGUACCUGACG
rnacentral:lncRNA from 1 species